rnacentral:rRNA from 1 species
UACCAGCACCCCGAGUGGUCGGGACGUUUUAUUGGGCCUAAAGCAUCCGUAGCCGGUUCUACAAGUCUUCCGUUAAAUCCAACUGCUUAACAGGUGGGCUGCGGAAGAUACUAUAGAGCUAGGAGGCGGGAGAGGCAAGCGGUACUCGAUGGGUAGGGGUAAAAUCCUUUGAUCCAUUGAAGACCACCAGUGGCGAAGGCGGCUUGCCAGAACGCGCUCGACGGUGAGGGAUGAAAGCUGGGGGAGCAAACCGG